rnacentral:rRNA from 1 species
AGUGAACGCUGGCGGUAGGCCUAACACAUGCAAGUCGAACGGCAGCACAGUAAGAGCUUGCUCUUACGGGUGGCGAGUGGCGGAAGGGUGAGGAAUACAUCGGAAUAUACUUUUUCGUGGGGGAUAACGUAGGGAAACUUACGCUAAUAACGCAUACGACCUACGGGGGAAGGCAGGCGUCUUUCGAACUUUGUGCGAUAGGAAGUGGCGAAGUCGGAUUAGCUAGAUGGGGGGGUAUGGGCUGACCAAGGGGACGAUCCGUAGCUGGUCUGAGAGGAUGAUCCGCCACACUGGAUCUGAGACUCGGUCCAGACUCCUACAGGAGGACGCAGUGGGGAAUAUUGCACGAUGGGCGCAAGCCUGAUCUAGCCAUACCGCGUGGGUCAUGACGGCCCUCGGGUUGUAGAACCCUUUUGUUCGGAAAGAAGAGCAGCUCGUUAACACCCCGCUGUACUGACGGUACCCAAAGAAUAAGCCCCGGCUAACUUCGUG